AAACUUAAAUGAAUUGACGGGGGCCCGCACAAGCGGUGGAGCAUGUGGUUCAAUUCGACGCAACGCGAAGAACCUUACCAGCCCUUGACAUGUCCAGGACCGGUCGCAGAGACGCGACCUUCUCUUCGGAGCUUGGAACACAGGUGCUGCAUGGCUGUCGUCAGCUCGUGUCGUGAGAUGUUGGGUUAAGUCCCGCAACGAGCGCAACCCUCGUCCUUAGUUGCCAUCAUUAAGUUGGGCACUCUAAGGAGACUGCCGGUGAUAAGCCGCGAGGAAGGUGGGGAUGACGUCAAGUCCUCAUGGCCCUUACGGGCUGGGCUACACACGUGCUACAAUGGCGGUGACAAUGGGCAGCGAACCAGCAAUGGGGAGCUAAUCUCAAAAAGCCGUCUCAGUUCGGAUUGCACUCUGCAACUCGAGUGCAUGAAGUUGGAAUCGCUAGUAAUCGUGGAUCAGCAUGCCACGGUGAAUACGUUCCCGGGCCUUGUACACACCGCCCGUCACACCAUGGGAGUUGGUUUUACCUUAAGACGGUGCGCUAACCGCAAGGAAGCAGCCGGCCACGGUAAGGUCAGCGACUGGGGUGAAGUCGUAACAAGGUAGCCGUAGGGGAACCUGCGGCUGGAUCACCUCCUUUAUG
rnacentral:rRNA from 1 species